AUGAACGCUAGCUACAGGCUUAACACAUGCAAGUCGAGGGGCAGCAUUUUAGUUUGCUUGCAAACUGAAGAUGGCGACCGGCGCACGGGUGAGUAACACGUAUCCAACCUGCCGAUAACUCCGGAAUAGCCUUUCGAAAGAAAGAUUAAUACCGGAUAGUAUACGAAUAUCGCAUGAUAUUUUUAUUAAAGAAUUUCGGUUAUCGAUGGGGAUGCGUUCCAUUAGUUUGUUGGCGGGGUAACGGCCCACCAAGACUACGAUGGAUAGGGGUUCUGAGAGGAAGGUCCCCCACAUUGGAACUGAGACACGGUCCAAACUCCUACGGGAGGCAGCAGUGAGGAAUAUUGGUCAAUGGGCGAGAGCCUGAACCAGCCAAGUAGCGUGAAGGAUGAAGGCUCUAUGGGUCGUAAACUUCUUUUAUAUGGGAAUAAAGUUUUCCACGUGUGGAAUUUUGUAUGUACCAUAUGAAUAAGGAUCGGCUAACUCCGUGCCAGCAGCCGCGGUAAUACGGAGGAUCCGAGCGUUAUCCGGAUUUAUUGGGUUUAAAGGGAGCGUAGGUGGAUUGUUAAGUCAGUUGUGAAAGUUUGCGGCUCAACCGUAAAAUUGCAGUUGAAACUGGCAGUCUUGAGUACAGUAGAGGUGGGCGGAAUUCGUGGUGUAGCGGUGAAAUGCUUAGAUAUCACGAAGAACUCCGAUUGCGAAGGCAGCUCACUAGAAUGUCACUGACACUGAUGCUCGAAAGUGUGGGUAUCAAACAGGAUUAGAUACCCUGGUAGUCCACACAGUAAACGAUGAAUACUCGCUGUUUGCGAUAUACAGUAAGCGGCCAAGCGAAAGCAUUAAGUAUUCCACCUGGGGAGUACGCCGGCAACGGUGAAACUCAAAGGAAUUGACGGGGGCCCGCACAAGCGGAGGAACAUGUGGUUUAAUUCGAUGAUACGCGAGGAACCUUACCCGGGCUUAAAUUGCAACAGAAUAUAUUGGAAACAGUAUAGCCGUAAGGCUGUUGUGAAGGUGCUGCAUGGUUGUCGUCAGCUCGUGCCGUGAGGUGUCGGCUUAAGUGCCAUAACGAGCGCAACCCUUAUCUUUAGUUACUAACAGGUGAUGCUGAGGACUCUAGAGAGACUGCCGUCGUAAGAUGUGAGGAAGGUGGGGAUGACGUCAAAUCAGCACGGCCCUUACGUCCGGGGCUACACACGUGUUACAAUGGGGGGUACAGAAGGCGGCUACCUGGUGACAGGAUGCUAAUCCCAAAAACCUCUCUCAGUUCGGAUCGAAGUCUGCAACCCGACUUCGUGAAGCUGGAUUCGCUAGUAAUCGCGCAUCAGCCAUGGCGCGGUGAAUACGUUCCCGGGCCUUGUACACACCGCCCGUCACACCACGAGAGUUUGUAACACCCGAAGUCGGUGAGGUAACCUUUUGGAGCCAGCCGCCUAAGGUGGGAUAGAUGAUUGGGGUG
rnacentral:rRNA from 1 species